rnacentral:rRNA from 1 species
GACGAACGCUGGCGGCGUGCUUAACACAUGCAAGUCGAACGGAAAGGCCCUGCUUUUGUGGGGUGCUCGAGUGGCGAACGGGUGAGUAACACGUGAGUAACCCGCCCUUGACUUUGGGAUAACUUCAGGAAACUGGGGCUAAUACCGGAUAGGAGCUCUUGCUCCAUGGUGGGGGUUGGAAAGUUUCGGCGGUUGGGGAUGGACUCGCGGCUUAUCAGCUUGUUGGUGGGGUAGUGGCUUACCAAGGCUUUGACGGGUAGCCGGCCUGAGAGGGUUACCGGCGACAUGGGGACUGAGGUACGGCCCAGACUGCUACGGGAGGCAACAGUGGGGAGUAUUACACAAUGGGCGGAAGCGAGAGACAGCAACGCCGCGUGCGGGAUGACGGCCUUCGAGUUGAAAACAGCUUUCGCAGGUGACGAGGAGUGAGUGACGGUAAUGGAUAAAGAAGCACCGGCUAACUACGUG